rnacentral:rRNA from 1 species
CGAUAACGAACGAGACCUUAACCUGCUAAAUAGCCUGGCCGGCUUUUGCUGGUCGNUGGCUUCUUAGAGGGACUGUCAGCGUCUAGCUGACGUAAGUUUGAGGCAAUAACAGGUCUGUGAUGCCCUUAGAUGUUCUGAGCCGCACGCGCGUUACACUGACAGAGCCAGCGAGUUCAUAACCUUGGCCGGAAGGUCUAGGUAAUCUUUUGAAACUCUGUCGUGCUGGGGAUAGAGCAUUGCAAUUAUUGCUCUUCAAAGAGGAAUUCCUAGUAAGCGUGAGUCAUCAGCUCGCGUUGAUUACGUCCCUGCCCUUUGUUCACACCGCCCGUCGCUACUACCGAUUGAAUGGCU